rnacentral:piRNA from 1 species
UGAACUAUAUAAUAAUGAG